AUCUCUGUAGAGUCUGCAUAUCAAUAAGCGGAGGAAAAGAAACUAACAAGGAUUCCCUUAGUAACGGCGAGUGAAGCGGGAAGAGCUCAAAUUUGAAAUCUUCAAGGUUCUACCUUGACGAAUUGUAGUUUAUAGAAGUGUUUUCUGUUAGUGGAGUGGCAAAAGUUCUUUGGAAUAGGACAUCAUAGAGGGUGAGAAUCCCGUAUUUGGUCAUUCCUCCUAGCGUUGUGAUACACUUUCAACGAGUCGGAUUGUUUGGGAAUGCAGUCCAAAAUGGGUGGUAAAUUUCAUCUAAAGCUAAAUAUUGGCGAGAGACCGAUAGCGAACAAGUACCGUGAGGGAAAGAUGAAAAGAACUUUGAAAAGAGAGUUAAACAGUACGUGAAAUUGUCAAAAGGGAAGCGUUUGACACCAGUGUUGUUUUCUCGAAAAUCAAUUAAAAAUGGCGGGAUUUUGUGUUGUAUUGACUUUAUCAGCUUUCUGCACUUUUUUCCUGUCUUUUUUAAUGCACUUUUCGUUUAACAAGUCAACAUCAAUUUCUUUUGUUGUAAAAGAGUCAUUGGAAGGUGGCUUUCACUUCGGUGAAAGUGUUUAUAGCCUUUGACUUCUGCAAUCGGAGAGAUUGAGGUCUGCAGCGUAGAUCCUUCGGGGUUAGAUACAUUUGUGCUAAGUUAUAGCCUUUCAUAGACAACUUGUUGACUAUGAUCAGUCAUGUAGCUUACUCGCUUAUGCUAUUUUACCUACGCUUAGGAUGUUGAGUAGCGACAUACGCAC
rnacentral:rRNA from 1 species